CAGAAUGGAAGCAGGUGUGUGGGACCGCAGGCUGCCUGCUGUUCUGUGCUAUACCUCCCUUGUCCAGGCAUCUGCCCCUCCCCCUCAAAGGGAAUCUUUUCCCUGGUUUUGGUUUGUGAGCAUGGCCGGAGGGAGGGAUGAGCUGUCUGGGGCAGGGCAUCACUCAGGAUGGCCUUGUCUGAGUUUGUCUUUCAAGCCAGCUUCUCUAUUAACUCUGCUGUCCCAACCAGAUCAACAUAGGAAUGGGGUGGGGGUGGGGCAUCUGCAUGUCUGAGACUAUGAAAAGUCACUCUUCCUGUCUCCAUUUGUAAAGAGGCAUAAUUUUCAAGGAGACUUAAGUGCUCUCAGAACAGCAGCUGUUGGGGGUGAAACCUGAAACUGCUUUAGUUCCCCGACUGGAAACACACGUAAGGUCAGCUGAUGUUUUAUAAAUCACGGCUGAUGGGAAUAGACUAGGCUCAGAUAUUUAAAGUUAUCAAGUUAAAUGUGGCUUUUGUGGGUGACAAGAAUGCGAGUCAGGGUGGUGGACACUGCUGUACAUUGCCGAGUACUGGCCUAUAGGGGAUCCUAAAAAUACUGAUAAAGUAAGGAAGUGGAGACCCUGAGAGGUUCACUAAUUAGGUAAGGUCAUGUAGUAAAUUAACGGCUGAGCAGGGACAAGUACCCCUUUGUCCUUCUUUCCAGACGGUAAUUUCCCACUCCUUCCCUAUUUAUUCGUUUAUUCCACUUUGCUUUCAUUGGCAGUUACUUAAGUGUUUGGUUUUCCCUUGAGCUUAGAAACCCAUUGUACUUAAGUUUAAAAGGCAGACCCAUGGCUUUUCCCCUCCCACAUUUGUUGGCCAUGAUAUGCAGCGCAUAGUAGGGUGAUCUUUGUGGGAAAUUUCUGUCAAAUAAGGAACUCUGAGGAAAAGCGUUAGCUUUGCUUGCAUUUUCUGUAAACAGGAUGCAGAGUUGCAGUAUUGUGGAAGGGCAUUUUCCCCCCUGAGAAGUUCCUGGAAACAUGCAGACUUUUUUUUUUCCUUUGUGAAUCAUAGGGAUAAAAACAUGUUAGGGAUAGUUAGUGUGUUCUUUUGUUUCCUCUUUGCUCCUUUGGAGAACUUUAAUGCUGGUCGUGGAGAACCAUAUCCAGCAAGUAUUUUAUUGAACUUCUAGACUAGGCAAGGCACAUGACAUCAGUUAGAUAAACGAGGCCCAGAGUCUUUAGUAAAACACCUCUAAAAAAACGUAAAACAGACCUAGAGAAGGUACUGACUGUCUCUUUACAAGUUAGCCCGUUGUAUUAUAAGACAAAUCUGUUUUGAAGUUAUUAGUAGAUUCCCUCUGUUGACAGAUUGGUAACAAGACAUUCUUUUUACAAGGUGGAAAAAAGUGAGGUUUUUAUAUGAGGCCUACCAGGAAAAGUUAUGCCGCAUUUAAUAAUAAUUUUUGUUGUUUGUUGUUGUUCUCUUGGUUGACAUGCUGUCCCAUGGAGCUUAGGCUGGCCUUGAACAGCCCAGGAUGACCUCGAACUCCUCGUCUGCCACUUUCCUUCUGGGUCUGGGCGUUCUUUGAUAGGCACUUGCUGAGGGGAGAUUGUAGUCUUAGCCUUACCAUGUUAAAUGCAGCUUUGUGUAGAAAUGCUACUGGGACAUUGUUGCUGAAAAGACUUGUAGCUUAAGACAGUCUAGAUUGAGCUGCCAAGAAAAGAGUCCUUAUUGCCUCAUCACAAAUCAGGUCUGGAGACUGAGUGUCUUGAGUGAACCAGUUAUCAAUUUGGAAGCUUUUAUCUAAUUCUUGGCCUUCGUUUUGGAGACUGCAAACUUCUGCAUCAGAUGGUUUCAGCUAUGGGUUCUCUAUUGCUACUCUUUCCUGAGGAACAAGUAGUUUGGCAAGUUUGAUAAGUAGCAAAAAAAACAAAAUAAACAAACAACCCCCCACCCCCAGAAAAAAACUAUCAUCACCACUACCACAACAACAAAACAAAACAAAAAACCCCCUGCAUCCCAUUUCAGAAGAAAUGAGAAAAAUUCAUUGUGGGUUUUUUUUUUUCAAAAAGCCAAUACAAUAAUACUAUAGAAUCAAUUUUGUUGACUAUGAAGUCUUCAUAUGAACCUUAAACUCUUGUACCCUUGAAGUAAAAGAUGUGGCCUUAAUCGCUCCAUGGGAAUGCAUGGAUAACCACUCCCCAGUGGUAAUCAAAGAUAAGUAAGUGCUGUUAGUAGGGUGUAUUUGAAGGUGGUCUAGCUCACAAGGUGAAAUGAAGGGUGUGAAGUCUUCUCGGCAAGGUUCUUAGCAUCCUUUUACUUACUAACAGCAGCCGCUGAUUUCACAGCAUCCGUGUUUGUUUAGAGCAUGCCUGACCCACAGCCAUUUCCAUCCGGGUCAGCCAGUUGCUAACUCCACCUAGCUGCCCAGUGAGCACGUGGUCUUAUCGUGAUCUGGAAUCCUUCUGGUCUCUUUCAGUUUUGUUGCCAGAGUUACUGAGUCUGGGACACUUGCUGGUCAUGUGUCUCAGGUUUUUAGUUCUCCCUGGUUUGGUCGUGUGAAGUGCAGUCACCGUCCUAGUGCUGGCAAUGCUUGCUCGUGGGAGGACCUGUCUUUCAAGUCCAGUACCCCUCGGUCAGGGCAAUUGCUGACAAGGUGUAAUAUGGCCAUUUUGCUUGGCUGAGGUUUUACAUGCUCUGGAGAGAAUGACUUGUAGCUUGACUUAGAGCUCACCUGCAGGUGACAUCAUGCCCUCAAGAUCCAAAGACUUCUUGGGUUUCCCCAGCCACCUUGGUUGUUGCUGGGCAGGGCACUGUCAUUCAGGUGUUGGCAAGCACUCACAAGGUAGGGGAAUUGGCACGGGAGUGGUCCAGUGCUCUACAUUUGGGUGAGCCAGCUUGAGGGAGUGUUUAGGAAAUGAGAAGUAUGUUGUAUUCGCAGAGACUGAAUAAGAUCACAUGCAUUCAGAGCCACCAAGCCAGUUUUCUUUGUUGUACCAUGUGCUGCAGGUCUUUGUUGAUGCAUUACUCCCACUGCCUUUAUCACAGAACUUAGAGCUUCUUGACUGGAGGGCCGUCCACACACGGGUGUGCCCUGUAUAUGUAUGCGAUGUGUGUGCCUGUGCGCAUGUAUGUAUCGUAACUAUCAUGUCUCUAUUGACUACCGUGUUUCUAUGGUGAGGCAGGACCUUUGUGUUAAGAGAUGGUGGUACACACCUUUAAUCGCAGGAAAGAGGCAGGUGGAUUUCUGAUUUUGAGACCAUCUAGUCUCCAUAGUUAAGUUCCAAGAUGGCCAAACUACAUAGAAAGACCCUGUCUCAAAGAACAAACACAAACUGGACUUUGUUCUUGCAUUCUCAGAUUAGAAGCUUCCUGUUUAGGGGAAGGGCAGUAGUAUACGUGGGUCCUGGUCCUGUGAUCGGAUACCCUAGAUCAUUUCAACUUGUCUUUGUCCUGUGAGUCCCAGCAUUUCCUUGUUAGUGUAUCACUAGAUUAUGACUUUGUGGUGAAUGUGGGCUUGUUAGUCAGACAUUCCUCCUGUUUCAGCCUUUCCCCUACCUUUGACUUCUAGCAACAUAACUUCCUGGUUCUUUCUUCUUGAGCAACGUUUUAAAGGGUUGUCCCUGGCAUUGUGUAGAGAACGCAGCCAACCAGUGCAGGCCGCUGGCAGCCUUGCCCUCUCCUGUGUUAAUGAAAUCAGCCUCCUUCAGGUCAGAGCCCGGCUUUGGGGCUUGCUUUGGAAGGUCAGCUGCAAGGCUAUGAGGUGCAGGAGCCUCCAUUGUGGGCCUCUGCACAGCCAUCUGUCAUUGUCAGCAGAUUAAGGAGCCUUUGAGAUCUGAAGGAGGAACCGCACUGAGUACAGUUGUGGACCUGCUUGGCUUUUAUUUGGGGUUUGUGACUGGGGGCAGCUCUUACUCUGCAGAAAGGCCGUGGCAGGACAGUGGGCUCCAUAAGGUAGGAACACAAAAUGGAACUAUCCCUAAAAGCUGACUGGUUAGCACCCUCCCGAGGCUCUAUUUUCUCUGUGCCACUGCAAACAGCAAGGGCUCAGGUAGACUGACGUUCCGGUAUUCAGGGGAAAUUUUUUUUUUUUGAGAUCUUUUUCUUUGUUUUACUUACAGUUUGAUUAUGUGGCAUUGGGCACAAGUGACUGAAUUGGUCUGAUCUCUUGGACCUAUUGCUCAUUCUAGAGGAAAGCUAUUCAAAAUUGACAGUUCCCACACAAUCCCUG
ensembl:lncRNA